rnacentral:rRNA from 1 species
GACAGUUCGGUCCCUAUCCGUCGCAGGCGUAGGAAAUUUGAGAAGACCUGUCCUUAGUACGAGAGGACCGGGAUGGACGUACCUCUGGUGUACCAGUUGUUCUGCCAAGGGCAUGGCUGGGUAGCUAUGUACGGAAUGGAUAAGCGCUGAAAGCAUCUAAGCGCGAAGCCAACUUCAAGAUAAGAUUUCCCACCGCAAGGGUAAGACCCCAGAAAGACUAUCUGGUUGAUAGGUCGAAGGUGUAAGUGCAGCAAUGUAUUUAGCUUAUCGAUACUAAUAGGUCGAGGACUUGACCAAU